rnacentral:tRNA from 1 species
GGAGCUCAGUAGUAGAGCACUUGCCUAGUGUGCAAGAGGCUCUGGGUUUGAUCCCAGC